GCGGAUGUGGCUCAGUGGUAGAGCACAACCUUGCCAAGGUUGGGGUCGCGGGUUCGAAUCCCGUCAUCCGCUCCA
rnacentral:tRNA from 1 species